rnacentral:rRNA from 1 species
UGGAGUCUGCAACUCGACUCCAUGAAGUCGGAAUCGCUAGUAAUCGUGGAUCAGAAUGCCACGGUGAAUACGUUCCCGGGCCUUGUACACACCGCCCGUCACACCAUGGGAGUGGGUUGCAAAAGAAGUAGGUAGCUUAACCUUCGGGGGGGCGCUUACCACUUUGUGAUUCAUGACUGGGGUGAAGUCGUAACAAGGUAACCGUAGGGGAACCUGCGGUUGGAUCACCUCCUUACCUUAAAGAAGC